UACGUAGGGGGCAAGCGUUGUCCGGAAUCAUUGGGCGUAAAGCGCGUGUAGGCGGCUCGAUAAGUCCGCUCUGAAAGUCCAGGGCUCAACCCUGGGAUGCGGGUGGAUACUGUCGGGCUCGAGUCCGGAAGAGGCGAGUGGAAUUCCUGGUGUAGCGGUGAAAUGCGCAGAUAUCAGGAGGAACACCGGUGGCGAAGGCGGAUCUCUGGGCCGAUACUGACGCUGAGGAGCGAAAGCGUGGGGAGCGAACAGG
rnacentral:rRNA from 1 species